AAUAAAACAUGUUUUGGAAUACAAUUUCAUCUCAAUUACACACAAUACAACAUGAAACAUUUGGCAAUAAUUCAAACAGAUUGGUAGUUGUGAAUUGUGACACUGGUGACGAGAGGUUCUUCUUGACAUUGGUGACGAGACGUUCUUCUUGACAUUGGUGACGAGACGUUCUUCUUGACAUUGGUGACGAGACGUUCUUCUUGACAUUGGUGACGAGACGUUCUUCUUGACAUUGGUGACGAAACGUUCUUCUUGACACUGGUGACGAGACGUUCUUCUUGACACUGGUGACAAGACGUUCUUCUUGACAUUGGUGACGAGACGUUCUUCUUGACACUGGUGACGAGAGGUUCUUUUUGACAUUGGUGACAAGACGUUCUUCUUGACAUUGGUGACGAGAGGUUCUUCUUGACAUUGGUGACGAGACGUUCUUCUUGACAUUGGUGACGAGACGUUCUUCUUGACAUUGGUGACGAGACGUUCUUCUUGACAUUGGUGACGAGACGUUCUUCUUGACAUUGGUGACGAGACGUUCUUCUUGACAUUGGUGACAAGACGUUCUUCUUGACAUUGGUGACGAGACGUUCUUCUUGACAUUGGUGACGAGACGUUCUUCUUGACAUUGGUGACGAGACGUUCUUCUUGACAUUGGUGACGAGAGGUUCUUCUUGACAUUGGUGACAAGACGUUCUUCUUGACAUUGGUGACGGGACGUUCUUCUUGACAUUGGUGA